rnacentral:tRNA from 1 species
AAGAAAGAAGCAUGAGUGGUUUAAUGCGGUUGGCUUGAAACCAGCGUGUGACGGUUCGAUUCCUUCCUUUCUUG